GUUUCAGGCAAGGUAGCCGAGUGGUUAAAGCGCAUAUUUGUGGUUUAUAACCCAAUAUCGAUGGUUCGAAUCCAUCCCGGAGCA